UACGAAGGGGGCUAGCGUUGCUCGGAAUCACUGGGCGUAAAGCGCACGUAGGCGGAUCUUUAAAUCAGAGGUGAAAUCCCAAGGCUCAACCUUGGAACUGCCUUUGAUACUGGGGAUCUCGAGUCCGGAAGAGGUGAGUGGAACUGCGAGUGUAGAGGUGAAAUUCGUAGAUAUUCGCAAGAACACCAGUGGCGAAGGCGGCUCACUGGUCCGGUACUGACGCUGAGGUGCGAAAGCGUGGGGAGCAAACAGG
rnacentral:rRNA from 1 species